UACGUAGGGUGCGAGCGUUAAUCGGAAUUACUGGGCGUAAAGCGUGCGCAGGCGGUUUUGUAAGCCAGAUGGGAAAUCCCCGGGCUUAACCUGGGAAUGGCAUUUGGGACUGCAAGGCUGGAGUGUGGCAGAGGAGACUGGAAUUCCUGGUGUAGCAGUGAAAUGCGUAGAUAUCUGGAGAAACACCGGUGGCGAAGGCGGCAUCCUGGACCGGCAUUGACGCUGAGGCGCGAAAGCCAGGGGAGCAAACGGG
rnacentral:rRNA from 1 species